GACGAACGCUGGCGGCGUGCUUAACACAUGCAAGUCGAACGGUAAGGCCCUUCGGGGUACACGAGUGGCGAACGGGUGAGUAACACGUGGGUGAUCUGCCCUGCACUUCGGGAUAAGCCUGGGAAACUGGGUCUAAUACCGGAUAGGACCACUGCCUGCAUGGGUGGUGGUGGAAGGCUUUUGCGGUGUGGGAUGGGCCCGCGGCCUAUCAGCUUGUUGGUGGGGUGAUGGCCUACCAAGGCGACGACGGGUAGCCGGCCUGAGAGGGUGACCGGCCACACGGGGACUGAGAUACGGCCCAGGCUACUACGGGAGGCAGCAGUGCGGAAUAUUGCACAAUGGGCGCAAGCCUGAUGCAGCGACGCCGCGUGAGGGAUGACGGCCUUCGGGUUGUAAACCUCUUUCAGCACCGACGAAGCGCAAGUGACGGUAGGUGCAGAAGAAGGACCGGCCAACUACGUGCCAGCCGCCGCCGUAA
rnacentral:rRNA from 1 species